rnacentral:rRNA from 1 species
UUGGAGGGCAAGUCUGGUGCCAGCAGCCGCGGUAAUUCCAGCUCCAAUAGCGUAUAUUAAAGUUGUUGCAGUUAAAAAGCUCGUAGUUGAAUUUCGGGAUCAGCAGGUUGGUCUUGCCACUGGUAUGUACUAGCUUGCUGAUUCCUCCUUCUUGUAGAACCGUAAUGCCAUUAAUUUGGUGUUGCGGGGAAACAGGACUGUUACUUUGAAAAAAUUAGAGUGUUUAAAGCAGGCUAGCGCCUGAAUACAUUAGCAUGGAAUAAUGAAAUAGGACGUUCGAACCUAUUUUGUUGGUUUCUAGGAUUGACGUAAUGAUUAAUAGGGAUAGUUGGGGGCAUUAGUAUUCAAUUGUCAGAGGUGAAAUUCUUGGAUUUAUUGAAGACUGACUACUGCGAAAGCAUUUGCCAAGGAUGUUUUCAUUAAUCAAGAACGAAAGUUAGGGGAUCGAAGACGAUCAGAUACCGUCGUAGUCUUAACCAUAAACUAUGCCGACUAGGGAUCGGAUGAUGUUAAUUUUUUAAUGACUCAUUCGGCGCCUUACGAGAAAC